GUUUUUUAAUUGGAAACUGGUAUGAAUGGUUAGAUGAAAAAUAUACUUUCUUUAUUUUAUAUGAAGAAUUUAAUUUUUUAGUUAAAAAGCUAAAAUUUAUUUGAAAGACGAGAAGACCCUAUAGAAUUUUAAUAUAUAUAGGUAGUAUUUUUUAAUUAAAAAAUACUAUCUAGAUAAUAUUUUUGUUGGGGUGAUGGAAAGAACUUUUUAACUUUUUUUAUUUUUUAUAUUUAUGUAUAUUUAUAUGAUCCUUUAAUAUGGAUAAUAAGAUUAAAUUACCUUAGGGAUAACAGCGUUAUUUUUUUGGAGAGUUCAUAUCGAUAAAAAAGUUUGCGACCUCGAUGUUGGAUUAAAAUUAGUUGCAGAAGUAGCAUAUUGUAAACUGGGUCUGUUCGACCUUUAAUUUUUUACA
rnacentral:rRNA from 1 species